AUUGAACGCUGGCGGCAGGCUUAACACAUGCAAGUCGAGCGGGGUGAUGGUGCUUGCACUAUCACUUAGCGGCGGACGGGUGAGUAAUGCUUAGGAAUCUGCCUAUUAGUGGGGGACAACAUCUCGAAAGGGAUGCUAAUACCGCAUACGUCCUACGGGAGAAAGCAGGGGAUCACUUGUGACCUUGCGCUAAUAGAUGAGCCUAAGUCGGAUUAGCUAGUUGGUGGGGUAAAGGCCUACCAAGGCGACGAUCUGUAGCGGGUCUGAGAGGAUGAUCCGCCACACUGGGACUGAGACACGGCCCAGACUCCUACGGGAGGCAGCAGUGGGGAAUAUUGGACAAUGGGGGAAACCCUGAUCCAGCCAUGCCGCGUGUGUGAAGAAGGCCUUAUGGUUGUAAAGCACUUUAAGCGAGGAGGAGGCUACUGAGACUAAUACUCUUGGAUAGUGGACGUUACUCGCAGAAUAAGCACCGGCUAACUCUGUGCCAGCCGCCGCCGUAA
rnacentral:rRNA from 1 species